CAGGCGCGCGCACGCAGACAGGCGCGGGAGGGAGACCGAGCGCAGAGAGGGGGGUGUCUGGCUGACUGGAUCCGCCGUGAAUUGUCCGCCCGAGAGCCCAGGCCGCCCCGCCCGAGCCCGCCCUCCGCCGCCGCCGCCGCCGCCGCCGCACGGUCCUGGGAGCCCCCGGGGGGGAGGGGGACAGGAAUGAGCCGCUCUGCCCGAGGCCGUGAGACGCAGGAAUGAUCUGAGCUCGGCCAUUCCCGGCCUGCCCCGCGCUGCUCUCCGUGACUCGCCCUGCCGCCCGCCGCCCCGCCUGCCG